rnacentral:misc_RNA from 1 species
AAGUCGUAACAAGGUCUCCGUUGGUGAACCAGCGGAGGGAUCAUUACAGAGUUGCAAAACUCCCAACCCUUUGUGAACGAACCUACCAGUUGCCUCGGCGGCGAGCCCCCUGGGCGGACCGCCGGCGGAAUAUAAACUCUUUGCAUUACAGUAUCUCUGAUUGCUUAUUCAAUAAGUUAAAACUUUCAACAACGGAUCUCUUGGUUCUG